GAUGGCGGCACAGCCCUCGGCAGCUGCGAUGGUGGCGGCGCCUGUGGUCAGAGACUGAGCUGCUUGCCAUGGAACUGUGCUGCUGUCAAGUCCCAUUGAAAACAGGACACAGGGCAGGAUAAAGCUUGAUCCAACAAUUAGUGGCUCUGAUUCCUCCACUUUUCCAAGAAGAUACUGUCCUGGAAUGAGCUGUGUGGCACACUGUGGUCGUGUGUGUCUGAGGAGCUUUUAUGGAGGCUGGAGACACUGAGGUCUCUCUCUGUUCAAUAAAGAGAGCUGCUGAGGUGCAUGGCUUGAGGAGAAAACUCCUGAGGUUAUUGUACAUCUGUUAUCAAAUGGACAUUGCAAACAGACAGCCAAAGCAUUGAGAAGGUCUUUGUACCAACAGGAACAUCUUGUUCUUCACCAGCACCAGGCACUCUGAAAUGAACAGAUUCCUUAGGCAAUGGAAAGCUAUUGCCUGGGUCAACAAACCCGCCUCUUGUCUCCUCUGAGGAAUGUUUGGGCAAGAAAACAUCUCCAAAAGGAUUUGCUUUCUUCGACCUGUCCUCUCUCAUCUCUUCUUAAGUACUCUGCUUCUGGUUAAGAAGGACUGGACGAUGUGGAACUAUCUGGACGGGUCAGGCCGACUCAUCCUGCCCUCAAAGCCCUCGUGUGCUACUUAAACCCACACCACAGUGGGGCGAGACACUGUGUGGGAGUGUGAGACAGUUCCUAAUGUUCCUGUUGAUCAAAUGGCCCACUGAGUCUCCUGAUCUGCUGUGGUGAUAAGUCAUAACAAGGACUCUCUCUUAAUCCUCAUUAUCCUCUGCUGGCGCUUCCUGCCCACAUACACUAGAUAUUUCCUAUCAACAGGGAGUAACCUCUGUGGAAGAUAGGAUCAGAUUCCCAGGAACCAGGCUGUAGUAAGAGUGAAGAAAGAAUGAGGAAACAGUCCUAAUUUGAGGCUAAUCUUAUAAAUACAGGGCUGGAUACAGACAAUAGGAAGAGAUAUGUCAGGAGAGCUUUAGCAUUUAUUUAGGAAAGGAACAUCUUUUUCCAGGAGUAGCCUUAAUUGUAACUUAUGAUGUGAUGAAGUUGCUGUUUGAUCUCAGCUUCGGCAGAGGGAAAGAGACAGAUUCUGCUUUGUGUCACCAGAGGAGGAGUAGCCUGAGAAAAAUACAGGGAAAAGCGUUUUUAAAAGUACUUUUUUGUCACUUGUGUACUGAUUCAAGCUGCAUGGAUGGAAUGUUUAAUUUUCUCAGUUUUUAUUCAAAUAAAACACUAAAUAAGAA